GUUACGUGUUCUGAACUGGUUAGAUAAUAGACCCAUUCAAAUUGCCUUCACUCCUGAGUCUUUGAGUGUCAGGUUUAAGCUGUUGACCGAUGAGGUCCCUUAUGCUUGUGAGCCUGUUAGAUUCUAUACACAUAUGAAUCUUCCUCAUAUUCGAUUAUCUGAUUGUCAGAUUCAAGCCGAUGACAUAUGAGGGUUGGUCCUUGCCAUAUCAAUCAAGUCCCAUUGAAAUAUUAUUCAUACAUCUUUGAUUGACCUUGUUUGUGCAGACAAUAUGAUCUGAAAUGAAGAGAUUUCACCCCUGACGAAGUCUUGGAAUAAGACAAAACGCGUUGGUUUAUUUGUCUCUCUUUUAUCUGAUGUUACCUCCAAAUCUUCAAUAAGGAGGAGGAAACUGUAGUGACAGAUCUACAUUUUUCCUCAUUACCACAAGCAGAUUGUUCAAACUUUACGAUAAAUGUAUCAACUCUGUAUAUGCAUGGAUAUUGGUGUUAUGUUUUAAUAAAUUUUU